GACGAACGCUGGCGGCGUGCUUAACACAUGCAAGUCGAACGGAAAGGCCCUGCUUUUGUGGGGUGCUCGAGUGGCGAGCGGGUGAGUAACACGUGAGUAACCUGCCCUUGACUUUGGGAUAACUUCAGGAAACUGGGGCUAAUACCGGAUAGGAGCUCCUGCUGCAUGGUGGGGGUUGGAAAGUUUCGGCGGUUGGGGAUGGACUCGCGGCUUAUCAGCUUGUUGGUGGGGUAGUGGCUUACCAAGGCUUUGACGGGUAGCCGGCCUGAGAGGGUGACCGGCCACAUUGGGACUGAGGUACGGCCCAGACUCCUACGGGAGGCAGCAGUGGGGAAUAUUGCACAAUGGGCGGAAGCCUGAUGCAGCAACGCCGCGUGCGGGAUGACGGCCUUCGGGUUGUAAACCGCUUUCGCCUGUGACGAAGCGUGAGUGACGGUAAUGGGUAAAGAAGCACCGGCUAACUACGUG
rnacentral:rRNA from 1 species